GGAUCAUGUUUCUUAAUGGUCCCUCUAAGCGAGAAAAAUUCAUCACUCACACAAACCAUUUCAGAAUAUAUAUCAAAGCAUUUGUGAUCAGUUUAUGUAUCAUCUGUUUUGGGGGGUUUAUAUCAUGGGACAAAUUUGGCCCGUCGCUGCUACAAAGUAAAGCCACAAAUUUGGCCCGUCGCUGCUACAAGGUAAAGCCACAAAUUUGGCCCGUCGCUGCUACAAGGUAAAGCCACAAAUUUGGCCUGUCGCUGCUACAAGGUAAAGCCACAAAUUUGGCCCGUCGCUGCUACAAGGUAAAGCCACAAAUUUGGCCCGUCGCUGCUACAAGGUAAAGCCACAAAUUUGGCCCGUCGCUGCUACAAGGUAAAGCCACAAAUUUGGCCCGUCGCUGCUACAAGGUAAAGCCACAAAUUUGGCCCGUCGCUGCUACAAGGUAAAGCCACAAAUUUGGCCUGUCGCUGCUACAAGGUAAAGCCACAAAUUUGGCCCGUCGCUGCUACAAGGUAAAGCCACAAAUUUGGCCCGUCGCUGGUACAAGGUAAAGCCACAAAUUUGGCCCGUCGCUGGUACAAGGUAAAGCCACAAAUUUGGCCCGUCGCUGCUACAAGGUAAAGCCACAAAUUUGGCCCGUCGCUACUACCGGGUUAACCUAAUGAAGUGUAACCUAUUGCCACUAAGGAUGGUUGUCUGCUGCUGCUUAAGUAGUAAUCGCUGCUAAGGACAGUAACGUCUAGCUGCAGAAACUUGGAAUUUUUGACAAAACAACAGGACAGUAAAAUUUACCCGAAGCGUCAACCACCACAGAGUCGGGUGUGAUUCUAGAGAAACGAGACUAGGAGGGAAUGUCCAAGAAAUUCAGGACACAUGUAAACCCACACCAAACUAAAACAACAAUUGAAAACAUAUUAAAACGUGUUGACCAGGAGACAUGACACACAACAUCAGAACAAUAGAUCAUCUCAGUGGCCUGGGGUGGUGACAG